UUUUGUGGAUCAUGUCCAUUUCUUCAGACACUCUGAGGUGUCUUGGGGAAGUGCGGUUAAACACACUUUGAAAUGUAACAGUUCACCUUUAAAGUGCUGCUACAUUUUUGUUUUUUGUUGUUGUUUUGCAUUUGUCUGUAUUUAUUUAAACAGACUAACACAGCUACCUCUUUUGAGUAAAUGUCUUUCCCUUCUCAUCCUUAAUGUUUCAGGUGUUCCAACGAAAUUGAUCGGCUUUGCCCUGCAGGGAGAACCUGUUUCAAACAAGCAUGGAACUCCGCAAGAUGCUCACGGACACAACUGUUGUGAUCACGAGCAUCUAUUGCUUUUAACAGCGUGAAGCGAAAUGCCGUUGUCUCCUAAUUCAGCACAUCGAGAGGCAUGAAAAUCCUGAGAGAAGGAGGCAGGCGAAGCGGGAACUCUGCCCAGCACCUCCUACUCCCGACCCACCCUCUGCGUAGAGAUAAAGACAAGACUUGCCAACAAAGGGCCACAAUCUCUGCUGCUGGACCUAGUGAAGCUCUAUAGAGCCCUCAAAAUUAUUCAAAGGAUCAAGACAAGAGAUGAUAAUCUGCUGCAAAAACAGGCAACAUAACAACACAGUCAUAAACAAAUCUAGGCAACAGGCACUUUGCAUCACUUCAUAUCCUUGACAACAUCAUUAGCAGGGAACAGCACAAUGAAAAAGACAAGCAUUAGCAUUAUCACCACUCUUGACAUUCCGAAUAAAGAAAUCUGAAUGAAACAGGAUCGUUUCACGGCGGUUUCUUUCAGAAUCCCAAGUCUAUCAUAUUUCUGUCAUAAAGUCAAGGAAGACUCCAAAAUGAAAGCAAGCACCUCUUAAAUGUUUUUAUUUCUCUGUUUAAGUUGACCUGAAAUUCCCAGGCCUAUUUAAAUAUUUGUGAAGAUCGCAAAGCAGUCUUGUUGGCCACACAGACAUCCUAGCUUUCACAAGCUGAUUUGCAUUAAUGGGCCAGAAUGUUUUUGGAGAUUUAAAUUGUGCAUAAGGACAACCACAUAAGUUUUGGCAGAAAAUUACUGCUCUUUAAGGAGCUACUGGUUUCAUCCAUGGGUGCCUAAGAAUAUCUUGCUAAUGAAGAAGAAUCUACACUCAAGACUUGUGCAACUUCUUUCAGUGCAAGCAAAAACCAGCAACAGGCUGAAAUUUUCUACAUCCAGGGACUCUAGUCUUCCUCUUUUUUGACCUAAUAUUUUAGUUUAUUUAUUUAUUUCCUCCAACGGCUUUCUGCAGCUCCCUCCCAGCCACACACCCCUUAAGGGCAUCAUAUGCACACUGCGGUAUAUGCAACAAGAUGUGUCCCAGAAUUGCAGAAUGAAUUUCAUGGGUGGGCGAGUGGGGAUCUAAACCUCGAGACUGAGUCCUUGUCCAGCAUUCUAAGCCAUACACCCACCGGCACCUAUUUCUUUUCUGCCAACAAUAAAGCUUCCGAAUGGCUAGAGAAGGGCUCGUCUUACCAAAUGCCCAAGUAAAAUGAUUUUCUUAGGCAGUAGAUUGUGGUGAUGUGGAAGCCUUCAUGGUGACAGAUGUUUGGCCAUUCACCACUUCUGGAGGAUAGAGCUUUGAUUUCUAGAGUUUCAUCUGCUCAGCUGGCUUGCUUUUUCCCCAGGUGCCGAGAACGCUGUCCUGGAACCACCAGUCCUGAAAUAAGAUUCA